rnacentral:rRNA from 1 species
AUUAGAUACCCUGGUAGUCCACGCCGUAAACGAUGAGUGCUAGCUGUUGGGCGGCUUACAUUUCAGUGGCGCAUCUAACGCAUUAAGCACUCCGCCUGGAGAGCACGGGCGCGAGAUUAAAACUCAAAGGAAUUGACGGGGGCCCGCACAAGCGGGGGAGCGUGUGGUUUAUUUCGAUGCAACGCGCAAAACCUUACCAGCCCUUGACAUGUAUAGGACGAUAUCAGAGAUGGUAUUUUCUUUUCGGAGACCUUUACACGGGGGCUGCAUGGCUGUCGCCAGCUCGUGGCGAGAGAUGUUGGAGUAAGACCCGCAACGAGCGCCACCCCUGCCUCUAGUUGCCAUCAAGUUUAGGUUUUUACCUAUAGGUUGCGAACUUUAUAGGGACUGCCGGUGAUAAGCCGG